CCUACGGGAGGCAGCAGUAGGGAAUCUUCCACAAUGGACGAAAGUCUGAUGGAGCAACGCCGCGUGUGUGAUGAAGGGUCUCGGCUCGUAAAACACUGUUGUAAGAGAAGAAUGACAUUGAGUGUAACUGUUCAGUGUGUGACGGUAUCUUACCAGAAAGGAACGGCUAAAUACGUGCCAGCAGCCGCGGCAAUACGUACGUUCCAAGCCUUAACCGGAUUUAUUGGGCGUAAAGCGAGCGCAGACGGUUAUUUAAGUCCGAAGUGAAAGCCCACAGCUUAACUGUGGAAGUGCCAUGGAAACUGGCUAACUUGAGUGCAGUAGAGGUGAGUGGAACACCAUGUGUAGCGGUGAAAUGCGUAGAUAUGUGAUAGAACACCAGUGGCGAAGGCGGCUCUCUGGACUGUCACUGACGUUGAGGCUCGAAAGCGUGGGUAGCAAACAGGAUUAGAUACCCGAGUAGUC
rnacentral:rRNA from 1 species